rnacentral:tRNA from 1 species
GCGGAUGUGGCGAAAUUGGCAUACGCACUGGUUUUAGGUACCAGCGCCUCACGGCAUGAUGGUUCGAGUCCAUUCAUCCGCA